UUUAUGAAGCUAUGAGAAUACUUUUUGUGUGCAAAGAAAACAAAAAUAACGCCUUUAUUCAAUAAUUUCUUCUCUUCCGUGUCAGUCUCCGCCGCCAUUCACAAGAGUACCACGACGCAUGGGAAGUUCAUCGCUAUGAAAUCACAUUCAAGAAGUCUCAUUCAGCACACAUCGCGAUAUUUGCCAUCAGUUCAUGUGUGCCGCACGUUGGCUGAAAAGACCUAAAGGAAGCAGUCAGCCCAGUCGUGUUAGUGGAGAGGUAUUCAUUCAGAAACAGAUGACAGAAAGCUGUAAAGGCAGACAUUUGGAUUACUUGCAGAUUGCGGUGUCCUUCUCCAUCAUGCACAUGCACUCACCUCUUUAACUCUUUAUCCCACACACAUACAGAAAUGGCACCUGGAUCAAUAUUAAGACUUUGCAGUGAUAUAUAUAUAUUUUUUUUUUUUUGCAGAAGAUGCAACUUUGUUUUAAUUAUAGGCUUGUAAUUAAUACAUUUAGAUCUUCCAGCAACCCAUAUAUAUAUACACAGAACCAAUAAUAAAAAUAAUAGUUGAAAAUAGUCGUAUUGAUAAAGCAUUGUGUUCUCUUUUUCAAGCUUCAUAAACUGUACUUGGUGUCUUCCUAAUGCUUAUAUCACAAAAAAGCAUCAGUGCUCAUCAGGAGUUUUAUUAAAGGACAUAUUCAUGCACAGACAUCCCCUAGUUCCAGUCAUGCAGAGACUUCAUGAUGCUGUUGUGAAGCGUAUAUUUCUGCAUUUGAAUACAGCAGGUGUUUUUCGAACAAUGGAAGACGGAGGAAGUGUUCAGGAAAACAACCAAUGUUUAUGGACUUGUGUUUGGUGCUGUGCUGAUAGAGUUUUAUAAAUGAUAUUACACACUU